GACGAACGCUGGCGGCGUGCUUAACACAUGCAAGUCGAACGGUGAAGCGCCUUCCUUUUUGGUGGGUGUGGAUGAGUGGCGAACGGGUGAGUAGCACGUGAGUAACCUGCCCCCUUCUUCUGGAUAACCGCAUGAAAGUGUGGCUAAUACGGGAUAUUCUGGGUCUGUCGCAUGAUGGGUCUGGGAAAGAUAUUGUUUCGGUGGGGGAUGGGCUCGCGGCCUAUCAGCUUGUUGGUGGGGUGAUGGCCUACCAAGGCGGUGACGGGUAGCCGGCCUGAGAGGGUGGACGGUCACACUGGGACUGAGACACGGCCCAGACUCCUACGGGAGGCAGCAGUGGGGAAUAUGGCACAAUGGGCGAAAGCCUGAUGCAGCGACGCCGCGUGAGGGAUGGAGGCCUUCGGGUUGUGAACCUCUUUCGCCAGUGAAGCAGGCCUGCCUCGUUUGUGGGUGGGUUGACGGUAGCUGGAUAAGAAGCGCCGGCUAACUACGUG
rnacentral:rRNA from 1 species